AAAAUGUGGACGGACAUCCAUACCUCCAGUGGUAAUCGAACCCAUAAUCCCAGUGCGUGAUCCUCUACUGCGCCGCCACUGAUCACCUUUGUGCAUUACCUUGCCAUCUUAGGUGACCGUCUAGUUUGCCUACUGGUUAAACCAGCUGCCUUUGCAUUGUGCUCUCUAAUGAAGCUUUUCAUUUUUAAAAUUGAAUGGGGAUAGUCCAAGGAUCAUGUUACCACAUCCAGGCACUUGGUAUGGAAAUACAGUGCUACUACAGUGAGUGUAUGCUGUGCAUUAACUAGCAGCCAGUUGCUAAUUUGGUAAUAUACAGCCUUUGUGAAAACACCAAUGGAGUGCAGUUACAGAAAUAAAGGUAUAGAAUUAGGCAUAGGAUCAAGAAAAAAGAAAGAAUGGAGUGUGGAAGAAACAAAGAAAGAAUACAUGCUGCACUACAAAAUAAAAACUAACAUUUUCUAAUAAUAGUGUAUAACUGUUGUUGUGCAGGGCUGCAUAACAAAAUAUGCAAAGGCACUGAACAUUCAUCCUAUAUAUUAUACAUACACAGGGGUCAACAAAUGUUGACUCACUUCACCAAUCAGACAAAAAUCUUGCUUGUCAAACAUUUCCUUGAUGAACAGUUUUUGUUGGCAAACAACUAAUUACAAUUUGGAUUUGAGAUUAUCACAGCAGUGAGUCUGAAGAUGGCUGUCUUCUGGAUUGUUGCACUGUGUAGUCUGGUAGAAAUUUACCAGCAUUUCAGAGGUCCCUGCUCAUCACCCUGACGAUGGAGGCAGCAAGAAAUCUCUAAAACAGACUAAUUACAACUGACCAGCACAGUGGAAAGGCAAGACACUACUAUGGCCAGCUCUUAGCAUCUUACACAUGUUGAAACAGAAUUAAGAAAAACAACUGUCAAACUGUAUUUUACUCCAAUCACUUUUUCCCAAAUUCCAACAUUCACACAACUCAGUAUCAUAUUAGCAAAGGUUAUCAUACCAAUAGCAUUUACAACAAUGAAAAAAUAGUAGCUAAACUUUUUCUUCAUUCUUAUUGAUUAUCAUGUAUGAAGUAUAUCUGAAAACCUAAAAAAUUAUGAAUACUGUCAAUGGAGAGGGACUCUUAUGAAUAACAAUUAAUAACUAUAUAAUAAAGUAUUUAUUUAUAUUU